CCUACGGGAGACAGCAGUGAGGAAUAUUGGUCAAUGGGCGGGAGCCUGAACCAGCCAAGUCGCGUGAGGGACGACGGUCCUAUGGAUUGUAAACCUCUUUUGUCGGGGAACAAAGGCGCCCACGGGUGGGCGGAUGAGUGUACCCGAAGAAAAAGCAUCGGCUAACUCCGUGCCAGCAGCCGCGGUAAUACGGAGGAUGCGAGCGUUAUCCGGAUUUAUUGGGUUUAAAGGGUGCGUAGGCGGACAGUCAAGUCAGCGGUAAAAAUGCGGUGCUCAACGCCGUACAGCCGGUGAAACUGGCAGGCUUGAGUGGGCGAGAAGUAGGCGGAAUGCGUGGUGUAGCGGUGAAAUGCAUAGAUAUCACGAAGAACACCGAUUGCGAAGGCAGCAUACCGGCUCCAUACUGACGCUGAGGCACGAAAGCGUGGGGAUCGAACAGGAUUAGAUACCCUAGUAGUC
rnacentral:rRNA from 1 species